CCCUGGUAGUCCACGCCCUAAACGAUGAUCAUUAGCUGAUGGAAAAUUCGUCGGCGCAGCUAACGCAUUAAAUGAUCCGCCUGAGUAGUACGUUCGCAAGAAUAAAACUUAAAGGAAUUGACGGGGAUCCGCACAAGCGGUGGAGCAUGUGGUUUAAUUUGAAGAUACGCGAAGAACCUUACCCACUCUUGACAUCUUCUGCAAAGCUAUAGAGAUAUAGUCGAGGUUAACAGAAUGACAGAUGGUGCAUGGUUGUCGUCAGCUCGUGUCGUGAGAUGUUGGGUUAAGUCCCGCAACGAGCGCAACCCUUGACCUUAGUUGCCAGCAUUCAGUUGGGCACUCUAAGGUGACUGCCGGUGACAAACCGGAGGAAGGUGGGGAUGACGUCAAAUCAUCAUGCCCCUUAUGACCUGGGCUACACACGUGCUACAAUGGAUGGUACAAAGGGCUGCGAGACCGCGAGGUUAAGCCAAUCCCAGAAAACCAUUCCCAGUUCGGAUUGCAGGCUGCAACCCGCCUGCAUGAAGCCGGAAUCGCUAGUAAUCGCGGAUCAGCAUGCCGCGGUGAAUACGUUCCCGGGCCUUGUACACACCGCCCGUCACACCACGAGAGUUUGUAACACCCGAAGUCGGUGAGGUAACCUUUACGGAGCCAGCCGCCGAAGGUGGGACAGAUGAUUGGGGUGAAGUCGUAACAAGGUAGCCGUAUCGGAAGGUGCGGCUGG
rnacentral:rRNA from 1 species